GUUUAAGUCAAGAAAAAAUUACUCCCCAUGACCCACUACACAGAGGCUUUUUUUCAAAAACAGGACAAAAAGAUACUCCAUACGUUCCAAGUACCCACGAUAAGAUUUUUACUCCUGAAGAAGAAAGGCCUGUAUUCAUUGAUUAUACAAGCAAAAGUAUCAGACAAUUCUCCUUUUUUGGGUUCUCACCACAGGAAAUAGUUGACAACUUGGCUAGUGCCGGCUUUUUCUAUGCAGGUUAUGAAUCCUCAACGGCGUGUUUUCAUUGUGGUUGUAAGAAGGAUGACUGGAAGUUGGGAGAUGAUGCCAUUUUUGAACAUCUACGCCUAAAUAGCAAGUGUUCCUUUGCAAGAGACAUAGAAAAUUCAAGAAAGCAGGCAA